rnacentral:rRNA from 1 species
UACAGAGGGGGCAAGCGUUAUUCGGAAUUAUUGGGCGUAAAGGGCGCGUAGGCGGCCUGGCAAGUGGAAGGUGAAAUCCCUCGGCUUAACCGAGGAACUGCCUCCCAAACUGCUUGGCUUGAGACCGGGAGAGGUGAGUGGAAUUCCCAGUGUAGCGGUGAAAUGCGCAGAUAUCAGGAGGAACACCGGUGGCGAAGGCGGGUCUCUGGGCCGAUACUGACGCUGAGGAGCGAAAGCGUGGGGAGCGAACAGG